rnacentral:rRNA from 1 species
UGGGGAAUAUUGGACAAUGGGCGAAAGCCUGAUCCAGCAAUUCCGCGUGUGUGAAGAAGGCCUUCGGGUUGUAAAGCACUUUAGUGGGGGAAGAAACAGCUUGGCCACACCAAGCCUUGACGGUACCCCAAGAAUAAGCACCGGCUAACUCUGUGCCAGCAGCCGCGGUAAUACAGAGGGUGCAAGCGUUAAUCGGAUUUACUGGGCGUAAAGGGUGCGUAGGUGGUUUUUUAAGUCGGAUGUGAAAGCCUGGGGCUCAACCUCAGAAGUGCAUUCGAUACUGGGAAACUAGAGUUCGGUAGAGGGCGGCGGAAUUUCCGGUGUAGCGGUGAAAUGCGUAGAUAUCGGAAGGAACAUCAAUGGCGAAGGCAGCCGCCUGGGCCUGGACUGACACUGAGGCACGAAAGCGUGGGUAGCAAACA